UCUGAGUCUCUAAAGAUGUCGAGCCGGAAGAGCCAUAAAAAGAUAAAGCACCGUGUUUGUGCAGAUUUUUCUAGGUGGGCGGUCCUAUGAUAGAGUGACUGGGACGGGAAAUAUCCCUUCUGUGCUGCCUUCGGACUCGAAGAAAGUAUAAUUAC